GCACCCGUAGCUCAGCUGGAUAGAGUGUCGCCCUCCGAAGGCGAAGGUCGUAGGUUCGAAUCCUACCGGGUGCG
rfam:Hyphomicrobium sp. SCN 65-11 ABS54_C0201, whole genome shotgun sequence.